rnacentral:rRNA from 1 species
GACGAACCGUGCAAACGUUGUUCGGAAUCACUGGGCUUAAAGGGCGCGUAGGCGGUCGAUCACGUCCGGGGUGAAAUCUUUCGGCUUAACCGGAAAAGGGCCUUGGAUACGGAUCGGCUGGAGGGAGAUAGGGGCAGCUGGAACUUCCGGUGGAGCGGUGAAAUGCGUUGAUAUCGGAAGGAACGCCGGUGGCGAAAGCGAGCUGCUGGAUCUCUUCUGACGCUGAGGCGCGAAAGCUAGGGGAGCAAACGGG